rnacentral:misc_RNA from 1 species
CCCCCCUCUCCCAACCCCCACACUGGCACCUUUUCCACCUUGUGGGGGUGGCUCUGUGUUUGAAAAAGGUGUACACUUCUAAUAUGACCCCUACAAUUUAAUUUUUUAAAUUCCAAAGCUUAUAUUUUCAAUCAAUAUGUUUCUUCUAUGCAAAGAUGCUAUUUUAUAUUUCUCUUUUUGCAUAGUUGCUUUUCUUCCAUUGCAAAUGUAGGUUGCACAAUAAUUCGUCGCAAAUAACUUUUUUGUGUCUGCUAUUUUCCACUGCCCAUAGAUAAGAUCCUCUAUCAUCACCCAGGAAAUUAUAACUUGAGGGGGGGAAGAAAUAGUGAAAAAUUGUAGCUCGCACUCUAAUGAACCGUGAAAGACAUAAUGAGAAAUUGCAUGGAUGUUUCUCAGAAUCAGUAAUCUUUGAAACUUUUACAUCUGCAGAGAUUAUUCUUCUUAUCCCUGUUGACUCUCA